GUUUAUGUAGCUUAAUUAAAGCAUGGCACUGAAGAUGCUAAGAUAAAUUUUAAGACAUUUCAAAAACA
rnacentral:tRNA from 1 species